AUUGAACGCUGGCGGCAUGCCUUACACAUGCAAGUCGAACGGUAACAGGUCUUCGGAUGCUGACGAGUGGCGAACGGGUGAGUAAUACAUCGGAACGUGCCUAGUAGUGGGGGAUAACUACUCGAAAGAGUGGCUAAUACCGCAUGAGAUCUACGGAUGAAAGCAGGGGAUCGCAAGACCUUGUGCCACUAGAGCGGCCGAUGGCAGAUUAGGUAGUUGGUGGGAUAAAAGCUUACCAAGCCGACGAUCUGUAGCUGGUCUGAGGGGACGAUCAGCCACACUGGGACUGAGACACGGCCCAGACUCCUACGGGAGGCAGCAGUGGGGAAUUUUGGACAAUGGGCGCAAGCCUGAUCCAGCAAUGCCGCGUGCAGGAUGAAGGCCUUCGGGUUGUAAACUGCUUUUGUACGGAACGAAAAGCCCUGGGUUAAUACCCUGGGGUCAUGACGGUACCGUAAGAAUAAGCACCGGCUAACUACGUGCCAGCAGCCGCCGUAA
rnacentral:rRNA from 1 species